rnacentral:tRNA from 1 species
GGGGUUGUGGCUCAGUGGCAGAGUGUUUUGCCUACCAUGUAUGAGGCAUCAAGUUCGAAUCUCAGCACCA